ACCUUGAACUUGAAGAUGCAGUUCUAGCUAUAAAUCAGAAUGAAAACUUGAGUAUCCUGUUGAGUGUUGUUGAAAUGAUUUCAAUAUAUAUGGUCCUAUAUGAUUGACAUAUCCAUAGAACAUCCAGUUAGCCUAGACAAAUAGGAAGAGAAAGGUCUCUGAUUCAGUUCUCUUUGAAGUUCAAGGUCUUUUUUAAUCUAAAUUAUAAUGGGAAGAUGUGAAAGGAUACAUAGAAAUCUUUGGAGGACAAAUUGGUGUGAGUCUAAAAAGACACAGAUUUGAAGAUAAACGAGAGAAAAAGACUCACAAACAUAGUUUAAAGGACUGCACAGACUUCCUGAUAUCUUUCAAACUGUUUUUUUGGUAUAAAUGUAAUAAUGCAAUAUCAUCUUAUUUGUAUAGGUAUACAUCCUGUAAAUCUUGUUGAUGCCUUUUAGCUCCGUAAAUGCAACCACUAUUUAGUAACAUUGUUGUGAUUGUAGUUCUAUAUGUGAGCAUAUUAGUUAACUAGACUGUAGUAAUUGCAUAUAUACAUUCAUUAUUAUAUACCAUACUUAUCAUCAAUCUUAGUCUUUUUAAUUCAGAACUAAUUUUUAAAACAUGUUAUUCUAAUCAGACUAACCUAUUAUAUGCACUUUGUCAAAUAUAGCAAAUAUGCUGCAAAUGUGGUGCAAUAGAGAGCAACCUUUAUAUUUCUUAGAAAAUACUUUUUUUCUAAACUGUAAUGAAAAGUAUGGUUAUAUAAUUAAAAUACUUUUUUUGUAAGUGAGACAUAUUUUUUAUGAAUCAUACUAUUUUAACAAAUGUUAGAAACAAAUUUGCAUAAAAACGUUCUUAUGUAUCAAAAUUCUGUGUUGUAUAAAAAUCUUAAAGAUUUUGUUUUUUCAGGAUAUUUCCCAAUAUGUUGAAGAAAUCAAAAUGCAAAAUUUUGGCUUGUAGAUUUUAUUUCGGGAUUUUUCCCGAAAUGGGUAAAACAAAUCUAUGCACCAAAAUAAAUAAAGUGUGUGCCUGAUAUUAGAUUUAUAUUUUCGGGAUUUUUCCCGAAAUGUGAAAAGAAAUUAUUAGUCAUGAGAUCUAGGAUAUACAUUGAAUUUUCGGGAUAAAUCCCGAAAAUAUUUGCAGACAUCUGUGUUAUACAUUUUGUACUUAGUUUAUAUUUUUGGGAUUCUUCCCAAAAUGUGAAAAGAAAUUAUUAGUCAUGAGAUCGAGCAUAUACAUUGAACUUUUCGGGAUAAAUCCCGAAAUUAUUUGCAGACAUCUGUGUUAAACAUUUUGUACUUAGUUUAUUUUUGUCGGGAUAUUUUCCGAAAUGUGUUUCAGAUUUUUUUUUUUAAACGCUUUGCCAACAUAUAUGUCCUAAAAUUUAAUGUUAAAAAUGAGUUCGGGACAUUUCCCGAAUAAAUAGUUGUCAUAUACAUUUUUUUACCAUAAAUAUUUCAAUACUUUCAUAUAUUUUGGGAAAUUUCCCGAACAUUUAAUGUAAGUUUUAUCAAAUAUUAGAAUAAAAACAUGGAAUAUUGUAAAAUUUGUGUAU